CUAGCUGGUGGUCAUAUUUCUGUCUGUCUUCUUGAAAUAGCGAGCCCAGGAGCAGACUACACGUUACCACCCUCGCGGCCAAAGCGGUGACGACAUCGACACGACGUGCCCAACACCACUCCCAGCUGUCCGCUCCCCGGGAUUAUCUCUCUCCUGCCAACAACGAAGGCAGUAACUAGCGUGGUAUGAUUGGCUUGAUCCAGCACUGGCAGCAACUGACAACCACCAUGCGGUUGUACAAUACUGGGAUAACGUCUAAACUCACCUCCCGGCGGGGUCUGGCUGACAGGCUAUAGGAAUGUGAGCCACGGGCGCGUGUCGAAGGUCAGCGGCCUGCAUCAACACAGCCUCUAUCUGCCAUCGCGUAUUGAUUGCUGGAACUUCUCCUGUAGUAGUGCGACACACCUACAUCAGGGCGAUGGUCUCAUUGUCUUUGUAUGUAUG